rnacentral:tRNA from 1 species
GCAGGGAUAGCUCAGUUGGUAGAGCAGAGGACUGA